ACGAGUACGUUGACGUAGACCCGAAACCAAGUGACCUACCCAUGUCCAGGUUGAAAGUGCGGUAAAACGCACCGGAGGACCGAACCCAUGUAUGUUGAAAAAUGCUGGGAUGAGGUGUGGGUAGCGGUGAAAUUCCAAACGAACUUGGAGAUAGCUGGUUCUCUCCGAAAUAGCUUUAGGGCUAGCCUCGGAAGUUAAGGAUCGUGGAGGUAGAGCACUGUUUGGACUAGGGGCCCGUCUUGGGUUACUGAAUUCAGAUAAACUCCGAAUGCCACUGAUCUUGUUCCGGGAGUCAGACUGCGAGUGAUAAGAUCCGUAGUCGAAAGGGAAACAGCCCAGACCACCAAUUAAGGUCCCUAAAUAUGUGUUAAGUGGAAAAGGAUGUGGGAUCGCACAGACAACUAGGAUGUUGGCUCAGAAGCAGCCAUCAUUCAAAGAGUGCGUAAUAGCUCACUAGUCGAGUGAUCCUGCGCCGAAAAUGUAACGGGGCUAAACACAUUACCGAAAUUGUGGAUCCGACCUUUGGGUCGGGUGAUAGGAGAGCGUUCUAAGGGCGAAGAAGCCAGACCGCAAGGACUGGUGGAGCGCUUAGAAGUGAGAAUGCCGGUAUGAGUAGCGCAAGGUCAGUGAGAAUCUGACCCACCGUAUGACUAAGGUUUCCUGGGGAAGGCUCGUCCUCCCAGGGUUAGUCGGGACCUAAGCUGAGGCCAAGAGGCGUAAGCGAUGGCUAACAGGUGGAGAUUCCUGUACUGGUCAGAUCUGUUUGAGUGAUGGAGGGACGCAGGAGGCUAACGGAGCGUGCAGCUGGAAUUGCACGUCCAAGCAGCGAGUCGCAAAACGAGUGAAAGGCUUGUUUUGGUGGUAGAUGAGCUGUGAUGGGGAGCGAAAUUUAAGUAGCGAAGGAAGUCAGGUCACACUGCCGAGAAAAGCUUCUAGCGAAGAUCUGAUCACCCGUACCGCAAACCGACACAGGUAGUCGAGGAGAGUAUCCUCAGGUGAGCGAGUGAACUCUCGUUAAGGAACUCGGCAAAAUGACCCCGUAACUUCGGGAGAAGGGGUGCUGGUCGACAGACCAGCCGCAGUGAAUAGGCCCAGGCGACUGUUUAUCAAAAACACAGGUUUCUGCAAAAUCGUAAGAUGAUGUAUAGGGGCUGACGCCUGCCCGGUGCUGGAAGGUUAAGAGGAUGAGUCAGCUUCGGCAAAGCUCAAAAUCGAAGCCCCAGUAAACGGCGGCCGUAACUAUAACGGUCCUAAGGUAGCGAAAUUCCUUGUCGGGUAAGUUCCGACCCGCACGAAAGGCGUAACGAUCUGGGCACUGUCUCAACGAGAGACUCGGUGAAAUUAUAAUACCUGUGAAGAUGCAGGUUACCCGCGACAGGACGGAAAGACCCCAUGGAGCUUUACUGUAGCUUGAUAUUGGGUGUUCGUGCAACUUGUACAGGAUAGGUAGGAGCCGUGGAAGACGGGACGCUAGUCUCGUCGGAGGCACAGGUGGGAUACUACCCUCGUUGUAUGAACACUCUAACCCGCACCGGUGAUCCCGGUGGGAGACAGUGUCUGGUUGGCAGUUUGACUGGGGCGGUCGCCUCCCAAAAGGUAACGGAGGCGCCCAAAGGUUCCCUCAGAAUGGUUGGAAAUCAUUCCUAGAGUGUAAAGGCAGAAGGGAGCUUGACUGUGAGACUGACAAGUCGAGCAGGGACGAAAGUCGGGCUUAGUGAUCCGGUGGUUCCGCAUGGAAGGGCCAUCGCUCAACGGAUAAAAGCUACCCUGGGGAUAACAGGCUUAUCUCCCCCAAGAGUCCACAUCGACGGGGAGGUUUGGCACCUCGAUGUCGGCUCAUCGCAUCCUGGGGCUGUAGUCGGUCCCAAGGGUUGGGCUGUUCGCCCAUUAAAGCGGUACGCGAGCUGGGUUCAGAACGUCGUGAGACAGUUCGGUCCCUAUCCGUCGCGGGCGUAGGAAAUUUGCGAGGAUCUGUCCUUAGUACGAGAGGACCGGGAUGGACACACCGCUGGUGUACCAGUUGUCUUGCCCAAGGCAGCGCUGGGUAGCUAAGUGUGGCUGAGAUAAACGCUGAAAGCAUCUAAGUGCGAAACUCACCUCAAGAUUAGAUUUCCCAUUCCUUAAUGGAAGUAAGACCCCUGAAAGAAUAUCAGGUAGAUAGGAUGGAAGUGGAAGUGCCGUGAGGCAUGGAGCGGACCAUUACUAAUCGGUCGAGGACUUGACCCA
rnacentral:rRNA from 1 species